AUUGAACGCUGGCGGCAGGCUUAACACAUGCAAGUCGAGGGGUAGAAGUUACUUGUAACUUUGAGACCGGCGCACGGGUGCGUAACGCGUAUGCAAUCUACCUUUUACAGAGGGAUAGCCCAGAGAAAUUUGGAUUAAUACCUCAUAGUAUCUUUACCUGGCAUCAGGUGAUUAUUAAAGUUCCACCGGUAAAAGAUGAGCAUGCGUCCUAUUAGCUGGAUGGUAAGGUAACGGCUUACCAUGGCAACGAUAGGUAGGGGUCCUGAGAGGGAGAUCCCCCACACUGGUACUGAGACACGGACCAGACUCCUACGGGAGGCAGCAGUGAGGAAUAUUGGACAAUGGGCGCAAGCCUGAUCCAGCCAUGCCGCGUGCAGGAAGAAGCAUCUAUGGUGUGUAAACUGCUUUUGUACGGGAAGAAACACUCCCUCGUGAGGGAGCUUGACGGUACCGUAAGAAUAAGGAUCGGCUAACUCCGUGCCAGCCGCCGCUGUAACAC
rnacentral:rRNA from 1 species